AUGAGCCUCUCGGCCACCUUCCGGGUCGCCAAAAUUCCCCGCGCCACCCUCCCUCCGAAGUCUUGCAAGGUCACCCCCUCCUCGGUAUCGGCCUCCCCCGCCUCCACGUCCGGAGAUCCACCGCCCAAGGCGGUGAAGAAGAAAAAGGAGGCGGCGCCGUGGUGCGUCUACCUCAUCGCCUCCCGGGUCCCCCGCACAUACGUCGGCGUCACGACUGACUUCCCUCGCCGCUUGAGACAACAUAAUGGCGAGUUAAAAGGUGGUGCCAAAGCCUCUUCUGCUGGAAGGCCAUGGAAUCUCGCAUGCCUUGUCCAAGGCUUCACCAACAGAAGUGAAGCAUGUGAGUUUGAAUCGAAAUGGAAGAACAUCUCCAAGAAGAUGACACGGAAGAGGAGUGAGCCUGGCUUGAACGCAGUGUUGCAGCACCGGGAAGUGGCAUUGAGCAGAGUAAAAACCUUUCUGGAUUGCAACCACCUCAACAUCAAUUGGCACUCAAGCUGA
rnacentral:rRNA from 1 species